rnacentral:lncRNA from 1 species
AGAUAGUUUCUUUUUGGGAGUUGCCAUGUACAUACGGUUGUUUUAUUUGUGUAUUGACAUGAGAUUGUAUCUGUAUGUUGGAUGGACAGAGAUGUAUUUUGAAAACUUAUAUGUACAGUAGGCUUUCUUUAUAUUUAUAUGUUUCAGUUUUAGCAGCUCUAUACUUUUUGUAGUUACACUUAUCUGUUCGCAGGUUCAACUAUCACUUCAUGUACACGAAAAAUUUUUAUGUAUACGGCAAGUCUGUUAGCGAGCUCGAUAAAUGUGGUAAUUCAGGACGUGACACGGCGGGAAAUGGGAGCGGAUCGGGGUGCAUGCAAAUUCAGGGCUAUGAAAAAAAAGCAUCCUCCAAGUAGUAAGGCUGUCAACAAGCCGAACACAUGAACGCUAGGACUGGCGCGUGUUCGCUUGUUUAUUAAACAAGUCGAACGCGAGUUGAUUUGUUAAAAUAUCAAGCAGAAAAAUUCAACUUAUGUUCAGUUUAUUUAUUAACGAGUCGAAUACGAGUCAAUUUGUAAACAAUAAGCUAGAUUGUCAGCUCUACUACUGCUAGAUGAAAAGUUGAAAUGAAAGAGGACACGACAGGAAAUGGGAGCGGAUGGGGGCGCAUGCGGAUGCUUAUGCGGGGCUAUGAAAUAAAAGCGUCCUCAAAAUACUGGACAACAAAAUUUACGUAAAUUAUAAAAGGCUAAAAUACAUAAAAUCUUUAUGUAAAAGAGCCGAUUUCUUACUUUUCCUUUCUAACUUUUAAAAAACAUAUAUUUUAUCUUUUUAAAAUUUUAGAAACCCUUAAAAAUUUAUCAAAUAAUUUAAUAUGUCCCAUUCCUCAAGUGAAGUACUGAAGUAACUAAUUACACCGUCGUUUUGAUCUGAUAUCAUGCACAUAGUUCCGUAAGACUUAAAAAUAUAAAAAAUAGACAGAACAAAGUAUUUUUUUUCUCUUUUAAUUUUGAUAAUUAAGCAUGACAAUCAAGAAUAAGUUAAACCAAACUUACAAUUUUCUUUGUCACUUUUGUUAUAUGUUAGAUACAAAAAAAAAAUUGCAUUUUGAAGUUUUAUAAAACCAUAUGCAAUAUAUAAGAGUAAAAUUGUAAUUAAUACUUUAACUGAAAAAAAGAGUCUGUUGAACUAUUUGAUAAAGUUUUAAAAAAAAAUGUUACCAAAAUUAAAAUUCCAGGCGCCUAUUUGCAUAUAAGCUAAAGUUCAGAGGGUCUACGUACGUUUUACCUGACACAAAUUUUAUGGGGACCGUCUCUAUAAUGAGACAGUCUCAUUUACUGUCCACCGUGCAUUAAGAUUCGUUCUACUCCACAAAAGGACAAUUUAUAGGAUCGUCUUAUCAUGGAAACUAUCCCCAUAAACUUGUUGUUCCCAACUAGGAGGUAAUAUCCUCGAAAUUACACUAUUAUAAAAUUUAGACAAUUGUUUCACUAAAACAGAACGUUUGAUUAGAUGUAAUUAUAAAUGCAGUGUAGUUAGAAAUAUAUAUAGUUGAAAAUACAGCAGUUAUAACUAUAUGAAUUUUAUUUGGUUGGAUGUAGUAGAAAGCGCUACAAGUAUAAAUAUUUUGUUUGGUUGUAUGCAGUUGAGAAAUAAUUUUUUAAAUUUUAUUAUUUUAUAUAUAUGAUGGUGAAAUUACCUCCAAUGUAAAAAAGAAAAAUAAUUUUUGUUUAAAAAAUAUUGAGGAGGUAAGUAUACUUUUUAUUUAAAAUUACUCUCUCCAACUACUGUAGUUGAAACUGCGCAGCCAAUUUGGGCGUAGUUCGAACUGUUGCAGUUGGGCCUCCUCCUGCAGUUCCUACUGCAGCAGUGGGAGUUAAAUAUAUCAAACCAAACACGAAAUUUAUAUUUACAUGCAGUUAUAACUGCAAUGCAGUUGCAACUACAUGCAACCAAACGGUCCCUAAAAGUAAGAGUAAAGAGUGCGUUACUAGAUAUUUAUUCAUUUGCAAUAAUAAAUAUUAUUGAAAUUGAUAA